rnacentral:rRNA from 1 species
GAUGAACGCUGGCGGCGUGCCUAAUACAUGCAAGUCGAGCGAACGGACCAGAAGCUGGCUUCUCUGAUGUUAGCGGCGGAGGGGUGAGUAACACGGGGAUAACCUACCUAUAAGACUGGGAUAACUUCGGGAAACCGGAGCUAAUGCCGGAUAAUUUUUUGAACCUGGUGGUUCAAGAGUGAAAUACGGUCUUGCGGUCGGUUAUAGAUGGAUCCGCGCUGCAUGAGCUGGUUGGUAAGGUAAAGGCUUACCAAGGCAACGAUGCAUAGCCGACCUCAGAGGGUGAUCGCCGACCCUGGAGGUGAGACAGGGUCCAGACUCCUGCGGUACGGCGCAGCAGGGAAUCUUACGCAAUGGGGGAGAGCCUUACAGAGCAGCGCGGCGUGAGUGAUGACGGUGCUCGGAUCGGAAAGCUCUGUUAUUAGUGAAGAACCUAUGUGUAAGUAACUGUGCAGAUAUUGACGGUACCGAGUCAGAAAGCCACGGCUAACUACGUG